GACGUAGGGCGCGAGCGUUGUCCGGAUUUAUUGGGCGUAAAGAGCUCGUAGGCGGUUUGUCGCGUCUGCUGUGAAAACUCGGGGCUCAACUCCGAGCUUGCAGUGGGUACGGGCAGACUAGAGUGCGGUAGGGGAGACUGGAAUUCCUGGUGUAGCGGUGGAAUGCGCAGAUAUCAGGAGGAACACCGGUGGUGUAGACGGCUUACUGGACCACGACUGACACUGAGGCACGAAAGCGUGGGUAGCAAACAGG
rnacentral:rRNA from 1 species